AACAUGCUAGGUUAAUUGGCGACUCCACAUUGUCCAUAGGUAUGAAUGUGAGUGUGAAUGGUUGUUUGUCUAUAUGUGCCCUGUGAUUGGCUGGCCACCAGUCCAGGGUGUACCCCGCCAGAUGGGAUAGGCUCCAGCACCCCCGAGAUCCUUGUGAGGAUAAGCGAUAGAGAAUGAAUGAAUGUAAAUAUUCAUAUUCAAAGAUGAUGUGGUAUUCUACACUGACCACUAGGUGUCACUAACAAGACAAGACUAUAUUAUGUCUUAUUUUUUCUUCUUCUGGCUAAUAGGUGUGUUAUUUAAUGUCAAGGUGUGUGUAUAUAUAUGCCUUUAUUUUAUCUCCACUUCCCUUUCUAGUUUAGAUCCCCUCUUAUUUUCUCUUUCACUUUCUUUUGUACCUCAUUUUCCUGUCUUCCUCUGGUCCACACCUGUUUCCAAUUCCCACGUCUCCUAUUUAAGUUCAGGUGUGCGUUGUUGGCUCCUUGAUUGACUUUUGUCCUCAGUUUGACGUGUAGUCACGGACUAGUUGGCUUCUUCCCUGCUGGAAUACCGACCUUAAAACCAUGUUCCUGUUCUGCAUCCUGGGGGUCACGACCAUUCCGACGCCAGCCCGUAACACUGGAACCAAUAAAAGAUUCGAGUAUCCUUAUUGGGAUUGGAAGCAGAUGGAAAAAGGUUGUGGUGAUUGUGUCCCGCGAGCUGAAUGGACUUUUAUCACUUGUGACGGGACUCCCUGGAAGUAAGCCGUUAAUCGUGUCCGGGCCGAGGGGAGAGAAGAGCGAAGGAGGCGUGGGGGGGCGAUAAGCCGGGAUGACCUCCGGCCGCUACAGAUAACGCAAAGCCAUCUCCUCACUGCUGAGGCGACCAAGUAAAUCUCCACUUCCGGCAUAGAAAACUGAUGGAUGGAUGUCCACUUCCUGCCUGAUUAGAAAGUGACACACUGGAUAGAUUUACUCCAUAGACUUUGUCUCCAAUCCAUCGACGACUCACACAGGUUUUUGCAGCGUCACAGACAAGUUUGAUUCAUCUCACGUGAACGGCGACAAAGUGAGCGGGGGGGUGAACCA